AUUGAACGCUGGCGGCAGGCCUAACACAUGCAAGUAGAGCGGAUGAAGGGAGCUUGCGCCUGGAUUCAGCGGCGGACGGGUGAGUAAUGCAUAGGAAUCUGCCUGGUAGUGGGGGGUAACGUCCGGAAACGGGCGCUAAUACCGCAUAGGUCCUGAGGGAGAAAGUGGGGGAUCUUCGUACCUCACGCUAUCAGAUGAGCCUCGGUCGGAUUAGCUAGUUGGUGGGGUAAAGGCCUACCAAGGCGACGAUCCGUAACUGGUCUGAGAGGAUGAUCAGUCACACUGGAACUGAGACACGGUCCAGACUCCUCCGGGAGGAAGCAGUGGGGAAUAUUGGACAAUGGGCGAAAGCCUGAUCCAGCCAUGCCGCGUGUGUGAAGAAGGUCUUCGGAUUGUAAAGCACUUUAAGUUGGGAGGAAGGGCAGUAAGUUAAUACCUUGCUGUUUUGACGUUACCAACAGAAUAAGCACCGGCUAACUUCGUG
rnacentral:rRNA from 1 species